rnacentral:rRNA from 1 species
UUUUUUCUUUUCUUUUUCUAGGGGUGGGCGUCGGGUUUGGGAUCGAGUCUAGGGGGUAGCGUGGGGAGGAGGGAGCAGGGGUAGAGGAGCGGCGGCGACGGUGUAGGAGGGGCAGGGGACGUGGUGAGGAGCAGCGGUUGGAGCGGCGGCGGUGGAGGAGGGGCAGGGAACGUGGUGAGGGACUAGGGAGGAGGCCGUGGUAGGGGCCGGUAGGGGUGAAGGUGGUGGGGAGGCAGGGUCAGCGACGAGAGAGAGCCAAUUCACUCUACCCUAGGUGAGGGCGUCGGCGGCGAGGUGGGAGUGGCAGCUGCUGGGUACGGCGGCGGCGUGUGGUGGCCCGGGAGGGUAGUGGGACCGGGGUACAACCCAUCACGCUCCGCCACGAAGGUCUGGUGCUACCGGCGUCGGAACGGGUGAGGUUAGACCUAGGUACCACGUGAGGAAGGAGGGAGACCUAGGUCGCGGACGACCACUGCUCCCGGCGGUCUAGGCGCUGGACCCUCCGAGGAGGACAUCCUAUGCCCUCGUCGUGCGGCGUGGGACGUCAGCGACUGGACCACGUGAGGAAGAUUAGAGGUAUCGGUGAAAAAACGGAGCCGACGAACGAGACGAGAGACGCACUACCUCGAUCCGGAGUGCGAGGUCGAUCGGCGCGGCGGCCGCGCGGAGGGGGUGCCCAUAUAACGUAGCGGCACGGGCGGUCAUUACUCGCCUCAGGCCCGCCCCUCCGCGCUCUCAUCCUCCCGACCCCGACACAGCUGCUCACCCCCACACUCGAUGCGCCACCAACUUCUACCCUUCCACUUGCUCCCCCUCCUCUACAGCUCCGGCGCCGACCUCAAGUAGCUCUUCAAUCUAGCCAUGGACCGCGACGACCUGCUCAUGCUCAGCCUCCUCGACCCCCGCCGCGAGACGCGGUUGGUGGCGUCACAACUCGGAAGAAGAAGAAGAAACACCAAACGAAACAAACAUCAUGCAUGGAUCGACCUAAAGUAAGUCGUGAGGGACCGGUUCAUCUAAUAAAGUCGCAAAUCACAAAGACUUCGCAGUUUACGCUGGUCAUCGUAAGAACCAAGUCAUUUUAAGUCCUUAGACAGUAACACGUCGUCUUCAUUUACUGUCAAGUCUCCUUUUCACGGAGGACGUUUUCUUAAAAAUGUUCUAAGACCCUCUUAAGUCUACUUUGUUGAAUAAACGAAAUAUUAAAGAUUUACUGUUAACGGUACAAUAUUAUGACACUCAGACACAACACACAGAGGUAUCCAAUACAACGACACAACCCCUUCGGUUUACAGCCGUUCUCGUGGGACUAUUUGGUUUAGCAACCAGUCAUCGAAAGCUAGCAUUGGCUAUUUGGUGUUUGGUGUGCGGUGGUGUAGGAGCCAUAUACAAGACUUGGUCUUAUGGUCCAUGUUGGAAGAACAGAGGUUUCGUGGUCCAACUAGAACUAACGAUCGUACCCUCUACAUAGAAGAAAACGUAUAGUUAAUGUAUCGUCAUGAUACAUUGUUAGAUACAUGACAAUAAAAAUCCAAUCCAACUUCACUAACCAUCCGGAAGCAAUCGUUCGCUCGAAAUUUAAAGGUAACAAUAAACGUGAUAUAAGGUGCGUGCGGAGUAAACUUAAACACUAGCAUAGGUAUCUGGUCACUUAAAUAACGUGAUAAACGAACGACACUUCAUAGGUCAUAAACAAUGUAAUACAGAAAUUCAUCAUUUUAACUCUUGCCGUUCGAUUUAAGAAGUUGACUUGACGAGAAAGUAACAUGGUGCUUUAGCCUUUAUGACUUCAAAACGAUACAUAUUGUAACCACGUACACGUCCGGGCCGAACACCCCUACCAGUCACCGUUCCGUCUCGCCUUGUGCCUGCACAGGAAGCGCGAGCUGCUGCCGUGGCCGGCAUAGCUGUAGUAGUCUACCGACUGUACCUUUUUCAAUACCUUGUUCUCCAUGGUCUUCCACCUCUUGGUUUCUUACAACGACGACAACAACGACUGUAAGAGUGAUUUCUUACAGGGAGGUCGUGUAAGGAAGUUUUACAACCGGAACUCAGCUCGAGGUUCUACUUCAAGUUAUCUAGACGUCAAUGAAACCUACGAGUACAUGUUCUUGAUCUCAUUUUCGAACUCUUCCUCUCCGCUCGGCGACUCAACUACGUUCUCCUCGAACAACUCCAGUUCUUCUUUAGUCUCCUCUGGCUUCGACAUGCGCGGCGUCUCAUAGUCAACAAUGACGUUUCUCAACUCCGGUGGCUACGAUCCCGACGUCGUUCACUAAGAUCUAAACGCGCAGAGUACCUAGACAAGCUUCCAUUUAAUCAAUGAUGUUGCACCAGCUACAACCGAAACCCUGAAAACUACGACUCAACAAACCUGGACCCCAACUACUCAAAGAAACCCACACAAUGACCGAUACAAUAAAACCAACCACGUAGAAUACUUGAACACCACAUUACUAUGACGACCCGGAUUCAAUUACUUUAGAACCUCUUAACAUAAUAAUAAU